UUCAUUUUCAUGAGCAGUUCCUCUUUUCGUGUUCGUAUUGCUCUCAACUUAAAAGGACUUGAUUAUGAAUACAAAGCCAUCAAUCGUUCAAACGAGAGCAGCACAGUCCUGGUAACAAACUAAAAUUGUUCAAAAAUCUCAUCAAUGUAAAAUAUUUACCUAGGCUCCAUAGAUGCUCUAAAUGAAGAUUAGCAAAAAUAGCAUGGAAACACUUCACCAGUAAGCUAUACUACAUUGAUAAGCAUUUAGACCUAUAUUCUAAUUAUAAAUCAUAAAGCACAAAGUAC